GGUAUGUAAAGCUCUAUCAGCAGGGAAGAAAAAAAUGACGGUACCUGACUAAGAAGCCCCGGCUAACUACGUGCCAGCAGCCGCGGUAAUACGUAGGGGGCAAGCGUUAUCCGGAUUUACUGGGUGUAAAGGGAGCGCAGGCGGUACGGCAAGUCUGAUGUGAAAGCCCGGGGCUCAACCCCGGGACUGCAUUGGAAACUGUCGUACUCGAGUAUCGGAGAGGUAAGUGGAAUUCCUAGUGUAGCGGUGAAAUGCGUAGAUAUUAGGAGGAACACCAGUGGCGAAGGCGGCUUACUGGACGAUAACUGACGCUGAGGCUCGAAAGCGUGGGGAGCAAACAGGAUUAGAUACCCUGGUAGUCCACGCCGUAAA
rnacentral:rRNA from 1 species